rnacentral:rRNA from 1 species
GACGAACGCUGGCGGCGUGCCUAACACAUGCAAGUCGAACGGGGAACGAGGGAGCUUGCUCCCUCCGGAUCAGAGGCGAACGGGUGCGUAACUCGUGAGCAAUCUGCCCCGCACUCUGGGAUAAGCGUUGGAAACAACGUCUACUACCGGAUACGACGCGGCCGGGCAUCCUCUCCGCGUGGAAUGAACUUCGGUUCGGGAUGAGCUCGCGGCCUAUCAGCUUGGUGGGGUGGUACCGGCACAGCAAGGCGACGCCAUGUUGCCGGGCUGAGAGGAGGACCGGACACGCUGGGCUGGAGACGAGACCCAGACUAGUACGGGAGGCAAGAGUGGGGAAUAGUGCACAGUGGGCGGAAGCCUGAUGCAGCAACGCCGCGUGGGGGACGACGGCCUGCGGGUUGUAUACCUCUUUUCGCAUGGAAGAAACGAAAGUGACGGUACCUGCAGAAAAAGCACCGGCUAACUACGUG